AACGAAACAAACAAAAAUAAUAAGAAGAACUAUGCAACGUUGACUAGGCAGGUGAAAUGGAGUUCACUCGUGUCUGAUAGCAGCAGCAAGACGGAGACCACUCGUUCUAGAAGGUCUCCACACUGACCUGCAACAACCUGCAGAUCUGCAAGACUUUUGGCGUUGGUGUGUCCAGAACUUACUAGCCCCAAGGCUACUUAAGAAAUUUGAGUAUCAUGACGUCUCACUUAUUAUUGUUUAGAAUUAGAAUAAAAAA
rnacentral:sRNA from 1 species